UACGUAGGGGGCGAACGUUGUUCGGAAUUACUGGGCGUAAAGCGCGUGUAGGCUGUUCGGAAAGUCGGGUGUGAAAGCCCUGGGCUCAACCUAGGAAGUGCACUCGAAACUCCCGAACUGGAGUCCCGGAGAGGAAGGUGGAAUUCUCGGUGUAGAGGUGAAAUUCGUAGAUAUCGAGAGGAACAUCGGUGGCGAAGGCGGCCUUCUGGACGGUGACUGACGCUGAGACGCGAAAGCGUGGGGAGCAAACAGG
rnacentral:rRNA from 1 species